rnacentral:rRNA from 1 species
CACGGGGGGAGCAAGCGUUGUUCGGAAUCACUGGGCGUAAAGAGCGUGUAGGCGGCCAGAUAGGUCUGCUGUGAAAACUCGAGGCUCAACCUCGAGCUGUCGGCGGAAACCAUCCGGCUAGAGUCCGGAAGAGGAGAGUGGAAUUCCCGGUGUAGCGGUGAAAUGCGCAGAUAUCGGGAAGAACACCUGUGGCGAAGGCGGCUCUCUGGGACGGUACUGACGCUGAGGAGCGAAAGCGUGGGGAGCGAACAGG